rnacentral:rRNA from 1 species
CUGCCAGCCGCCGCGGUAAUACAGAGGGUGCGAGCGUUAAUCGGAUUUACUGGGCGUAAAGCGUGCGCAGGCGGUUGUGCAAGACCGAUGUGAAAUCCCCGGGCUUAACCUGGGAAUUGCAUUGGUGACUGCACGGCUAGAGUGUGUCAGAGGGGGGUAGAAUUCCACGUGUAGCAGUGAAAUGCGUAGAGAUGUGGAGGAAUGCCGAUGGCGAAGGCAGCCCCCUGGGAUAACACUGACGCUCAUGCACGAAAGCGUGGGGAGCAAACAGGAUUAGAUACCCUGGUAGUCCACGCCCUAAACGAUGUCAACUAGUUGUUGGGGAUUCAUUUCCUUAGUAACGUAGCUAACGCGUGAAGUUGACCGCCUGGGGAGUACGGUCGCAAGAUUAAAACCUUAAAUGAAUUGACGG